UUAAAUUCUCAAACCUCUAAAAUCCAAACCCUAACUCUCUUUCUCUCGUUCAAUUCUCCCGCCCACAGGCCGCCGCCUCGCCUCCCAUCAGUCUGACGCGCCUCCGGCAGUCUCUCCCGGUCCAACGCACCACCGGUCUCCGACCGCCCCGCCUCGGUCUGACUCGAAGCCUCCGUGGCAAGCCAAAAGUAUGCUAUGCCCCGUCGCGCCUCAGUGUGCGACAGCACGGUCCAUCCUUUCCCGUCGUCCCGCCUCACCUCCUCCGGCCUCAGCGGCUCCGUUGGUCCGUCCGGCGACUCCAAAACACCAGCAGUUGCCAACACGGCGAGCCUGUAGGAACUUGGGGUUGAAUAUAACUCAUUAAGAUGCAUUUGACCGAAUGUUUUGAUGGUUUUGGAAGAAUCGACAUUCUGCCUGUAAUCUGAUGCCCAAAGGAAGAUGAAGAUCGUUGGGUUCGAUGAUGAAGUAACCUACUAUCUCUAUGAAAUGCCAGGAGCAGCUACCUCAGAUGUUUUCCAUCUCCGGUAAUAUAUAAAUUAUCAUGGCAUCCUUCAAUCUUGAUUCAAGCUAUAGCUCCAAAUGAAACUUUAAAGAAAUUGGCUUCUGUUUGCUCAAAUUUCAAGCUCCUUAGUAAAGUUCUUUUUUCCAUUUCAACUACUGUAGCAAAGUUCUUGUGUAUUUGCACCAUACUAUACUAGAUUCAUUGACCGCCAGCUAAUGUUCUUUCUUUUGCUGUAUUUAUGUCGA